rnacentral:rRNA from 1 species
GAUGAACGCUGGCGGCGUGCCUAAUACAUGCAAGUCGAGCGAACGGACGAGAAGCUUGCUUCUCUGAUGUUAGCGGCGGACGGGUGAGUAACACGUGGAUAACCUACCUAUAAGACUGGGAUAACUUCGGGAAACCGGAGCUAAUACCGGAUAAUAUUUUGAACCGCAUGGUUCAAAAGUGAAAGACGGUCUUGCUGUCACUUAUAGAUGGAUCCGCGCUGCAUUAGCUAGUUGGUAAGGUAACGGCUUACCAAGGCAACGAUGCAUAGCCGACCUGAGAGGGUGAUCGGCCACACUGGAACUGGGACACGGUCCAGACUCCUACGGGAGGCAGCAGCAGGGAAUCUUCCGCAAUGGGCGAAAGCCUGACGGAGCAACGCCGCGUGAGUGAUGAAGGUCUUCGGAUCGUAAAACUCUGUUAUUAGGGAAGAACAUAUGUGUAAGUAACUGUGCACAUCUUGACGGUACCUAAUCAGAAAGCCACGGCUAACUACGUG